AGCCCUGAGGUGUGUUACACAUUGAAUUGCAAAUUCGAAGAAGCAGCUUCAACUCUGCCGGGGCUU